rnacentral:rRNA from 1 species
UACGGGGGGAGCAAGCGUUGUUCGGAUUUACUGGGCGUAAAGGGCGCGUAGGCGGCCAGCACAAGUCAGUUGUGAAAUCUCCGAGCUUAACUCGGAAAGGUCAACUGAUACUGUGCGGCUAGAGUGCAGAAGGGGCAACUGGAAUUCUUGGUGUAGCAGUGAAAUGCGUAGAGAUCAUGAGGAAGACCAGUGGCGAAGGCGGGUCUCUGGACAGUUCCUGACACUGAGGCACGAAGGCCAGGGGAGCAAACGGG